CGUAGUUGAAUUUCGGAUCUGGCCAGGCGGUCCGUCUUACGGCGUGUACUGUCAGGCUGGAUCUUCCCUCUUGGUGAGCCAGCAUGUCCUUUACUGGGUGUGUUGGUAAACCAGGACUUUUACUUUGAAAAAAUUAGAGUGUUCAAAGCAGGCCUAUGCCCGAAUAUAUUAGCAUGGAAUAAUAAAAUAGGACGUGCGGUUCUAUUUGUGACAGA
rnacentral:rRNA from 1 species